ensembl:lncRNA
UGAACCUUCGUUUACCGACUUCGAAUUAGAUGUAGAUAAUGAUAUAUUUUCUUAUUUAUAUUCUCUUAUAAGCAAUAAAAACGUCAGACACAAAAUAUUAAAAAUAAAUAAUUUGAUAGAUGAUUAUUUGUAUAACACCUUAAUAAAUAAUGAAGAAAUAUGUGAAUUAUACGAAAGUUCUAGUGAAAAAGAAAAUGGAAAUGGUCACAGUGAAAUAUUAACUUACAUCAGUCGAAACAAUUCAGAUUGUAACAAUCACAAUGUUGUAGCUAGCUAUAAGCACACAGAACAUAUAAAUGGAAAUCAUAAUUUUGAUCAAAGUUUUGAUAAUAUGUUAGUUUCACACGACAAAAAACACCCGUUUGAAUAUUCUUCACAUGAGUUCAUACCAAGUAGUAGCUCAUUUUUAAAAAACAAAAAUAACAACAAUUUUAAAAUAAAUAUAAUGAACAUGUUAGCUAACAAUUACAUUUUUUACAAUAAUAAAUACAAACAAAACAAUGUAUUAUUUUUAUGCUAUGAUGAAUAUGAUGAUGAAACAUGUGAUAUCUGUUUUAAAUAUAAAGAAAACUAUAUGACCAACAUACAAACUAGUGUUAAUAAAAUUGGACCUUUUAAAGAUGAUAAAACCCAGUUAGGGAAAAUAAAUAGGCUGAAUGGAAAUGAGAAUGGUAAUACUCUUACUAGUGAUAAUAACAACAGUAUCACAUGCAACGGUACCAAAAUAAAUAGCUGUUCCAAUUCCUUCAGUACUAUCAACUCAUUGAGUGAUUAUUUUUUUGUUUUAGGAUCUACCUCGAACUCAAGAAAAUUUAUUUUAAAAAAAAAUGAACUCAAUUUUAUAUCAGUUAGUAUACAUAUUAAUGAAAGAAAAAUUGGAUGNNNNNNNNNNGUUAAAGAAAGCAAAAAAACUGAACCUUCGUUUACCGACUUCGAAUUAGAUGUAGAUAAUGAUAUAUUUUCUUAUUUAUAUUCUCUUAUAAGCAAUAAAAACGUCAGACACAAAAUAUUAAAAAUAAAUAAUUUGAUAGAUGAUUAUUUGUAUAACACCUUAAUAAAUAAUGAAGAAAUAUGUGAAUUAUACGAAAGUUCUAGUGAAAAAGAAAAUGGAAAUGGUCACAGUGAAAUAUUAACUUACAUCAGUCGAAACAAUUCAGAUUGUAACAAUCACAAUGUUGUAGCUAGCUAUAAGCACACAGAACAUAUAAAUGGAAAUCAUAAUUUUGAUCAAAGUUUUGAUAAUAUGUUAGUUUCACACGACAAAAAACACCCGUUUGAAUAUUCUUCACAUGAGUUCAUACCAAGUAGUAGCUCAUUUUUAAAAAACAAAAAUAACAACAAUUUUAAAAUAAAUAUAAUGAACAUGUUAGCUAACAAUUACAUUUUUUACAAUAAUAAAUACAAACAAAACAAUGUAUUAUUUUUAUGCUAUGAUGAAUAUGAUGAUGAAACAUGUGAUAUCUGUUUUAAAUAUAAAGAAAACUAUAUGACCAACAUACAAACUAGUGUUAAUAAAAUUGGACCUUUUAAAGAUGAUAAAACCCAGUUAGGGAAAAUAAAUAGGCUGAAUGGAAAUGAGAAUGGUAAUACUCUUACUAGUGAUAAUAACAACAGUAUCACAUGCAACGGUACCAAAAUAAAUAGCUGUUCCAAUUCCUUCAGUACUAUCAACUCAUUGAGUGAUUAUUUUUUUGUUUUAGGAUCUACCUCGAACUCAAGAAAAUUUAUUUUAAAAAAAAAUGAACUCAAUUUUAUAUCAGUUAGUAUACAUAUU